rnacentral:rRNA from 1 species
UACGUAGGGACCAAGCGUUGUUCGGAUUUACUGGGCGUAAAGGGCGCGUAGGCGGCGUGGUAAGUCAGCUGUGAAAUCUCCGAGCUUAACUCGGAACGGUCAGCUGAUACUGCUGUGCUAGAGUACAGAAAGGGCAAUCGGAAUUCUUGGUGUAGCGGUGAAAUGCGUAGAUAUCAAGAGGAACACCUGAGGCGAAGGCGGGUUGCUAGGCUGAUACUGACGUGAGGCGCGAAAGCUAGGGUAGCAAACGGG